CGAUGACCCCACCCUCCAAGGAAGUCCACAUCCUAAUCCCCAGACCCUGUGAAUGUGUCACCUUACACGGCAAAGGGACUUUGCAGAUGUCACUGAGGUCAAGGACCUUGAGCUGGGGAGAGUAUUCUGGAUUAUCUGGGUGGCCCAACGGGAUCUUCCCUUUCUUCAGAGGGAAGAACGUUUCCUGGCUGCAGAGAACCAGAGAGAGACGGCAGCGGAAGGGACCAAUCAAAGCUGGAAAGAGUGAGGAAACGGAUCCUCCCCAGAGCCUCCAGAAGGAACGCAGCCCUGCGCGCAACCUGACUUCGGCUGGCGGAGACCCCUGUCAGAGUUCCGGCCCACACGACCCUAAGAAUACCAGGAAUUGCAUGGAUUUUUGCCAUAAUUCUUUGAAGAUGUCAGCAUGAACCAGGUCCUGGGAAUACAGCGGACAUUCUGGGCUGAGGCUACAGAUUUGAGGGUCAAAACCAGUGGAAUUACAGUAAUCACCCAGGAGACAUUUGCAGAUGGAGAAGAGAAGGCAGAUCCAGCACAUAACCUCCGAGCACUCCAAAACGUAGAGGUCCAGCAGAGGAGAAGGACUUACAAAGGAAGAAGUGUUAUGGUAGGAAGAGAACAGGCAGAGCGUGUGGUAUCACAGAAGCCAAAAGAAGAAGGUGUUUCAAGGAGAAAGAGAAUGGUUAGUGGUGCCAAAGGCGGCCUCACAGGUCAAGUAAGAACAGACUGAUGAUCAUCGGUCUUGACAACGUGAAAGUGAUCUUGACAUGAGCAACUAGAAAGCGGAGAAGCCCAGUUGUAAUGGACUGAAGGACAGAAUGUGGAAAAAGGAGUGGAAACUGUGACUUAGAAAACACUUUUAAUUACAGGCAUGCCUUGGAGAUAUUGUGGGUUCGGCUCCAGACCACCCUAAUAAAGUGAAUAUUGUCAUAGAGCAAGUCAUAUGAAUUUUUUGGUUUCCCAGUGCGUAUAAAAGUUAUGUUUACACUAUACUAUAGUCUGUUAAAUGUGCAAUAGCAUUAUGUCAAAAAACGAGGUACAUAACCUUCACUGAAAAAUACUUUCUUGCUAAAAAAAAUGCUAACCGUCAUCUGAGCCUCCAGCAGGUCAGAAUCUUUUUGCUGGUGGAGGGUCUUGCCCGACGUUGAGGGCUGCUGACCCAUCAGGGUGGUGGGUGCUGAAGGUGGGGUGGCCGUGACAGUUUCUUAAAAUAAGACCACAGUGAACUUUGCCACAUCGAUUGACGCUCCCUUUCACGAACGAUUUCUCUGUAGCGUGCAGUGCUGUUUGACAGCAUUUUACCCACAGUAGAUCUUCUUUCAAAAUUGGAGUCAGUCCUCUCCAACCCUGCCACUGCUUUAUCAACUAAGUUUAUGUAAUGUUCUAAAUCCUUUGCUGCCAUUUCAACCAUCUGCACAGCAUCUUCGUCAGGAGUAGAUUCCAUCCCAAGAAACCACUUUCUUUGCUCAUCCAUAGGAAGCAACUCCUCAUCCGUGAAAGUUUUACCAUGAGAUGGCAGCAGUUCAGUCACAUCUUCAGGUUCCACUUCUAACUCUAGUUCUCUUGCUAUUUCUACCACAUCUGCAGUUAUAAUAAUAACAUCGAAGAUCACUGAUCACAGAUCACCAUAACAAAUAUGAUAAUAAUGACAAAGUUUGAAACAGUGCACGAAUUACCAAAAUGUGACACAGAGACACAGCAGAACAAGCACUGCUGGAAAAAUGACACCGACAGACGAGCUGGACGCCGGUUGACACAAACCUUCAAUUUGUAAAAAAAAAAAAAAAGCAAUAUCUGUGACAUGCAGUAGAACAAGGUAUGCCUCCAGUUGCUGUAAAGAGCAUCAGAGAGAUGGAGUAGUAGCUGGAGGUGGAUGUGGAGGUCACAGGAAGGGGUUUUACAUGGAUAUGCUAGUGAUAAUGGUAGUAAUUCAGUGGAGAGAGGGAAACUGGUGAAGCAGCAGAUAAACUGAUGAUUGCGAGGAGAAAGGCCAGGACACAGUGAGAGGAAAGGAGUCCAAAGCACAGCUAGAAAGGGCAAACUGAGGGAAAAGCAGAAAUUUCACCACAGAAAUAGAAGGCAGGGCAGUAGGAAUGAGUAUAGUCAGCUUUCCCUAUCUGCGGGUUCCUUCCACAUCUGUGGAUUCAACCAACUGCAGAUCAAAUAUAUAUAUAUUUUUUUAAUUCCAGAAAGUUCUAAAAAGCAAAACUUGAAUUUGCCACAUGCUGGCAACUAUUUACAUAGCGUUUCCAUUGCGUUAGGUACUGUAAGUAAUCUAGAGAUGAUUUAAAGUGUACAGGAGGAUGUUUGUAGGUUACAUGCAAAUACCUCACCGUUUUAUAUAAGGGACUUGAGCAUCUGAGGAUUUUGGUAUUGGGAGUGGGGUGGCAGGGUCCUGGAACCAAUCCCCUGUGGAAAUGGAGGGACGACUGACUGAUGGAAAGCAGGUAUGUUGGUGGAUUGUGCAGUGGGAAGAUAAGGAUCUCCUAUCUAACUAAUACUAUGUUCUCUAAGAAGCAUGAAGCCAGGUCAUCGAACGCCCAUUAAACAUCUUUAUAAUAUGAGGUAGUAGAAAGACUGCUGUCUUGCCAGCUAAGACAAUAAUGAAGAUACUGGCCUGAGUAUCUGGUGUAGACACUGAUCAUUUAUCAAGAAAGUCACUUAUCCUGUUGGUAAAUGUACUUCUAAACUUUCAAACAGGAACGACAACUAUUGCACUGAUCAGACGUUGGAGAGUUAAUUCUCCCUGGAAAUGUCUGCUUCUGGAAAUAUCUGAAACACUGAAUGAAUUUUAAAAUAUGUUUUGCAAUGUAUGGUCGAGCUGGAAGAAAGUAAGGUGCUGGAGCGGACCUCUCCUGCGUCAUCUGCCGACCACUGUGACCUAGCCCCGGGGUGUUAACAGGUUCCAUGCCUGCAGGACAGGAAAUACACCUCGGCUAGAGUCGGAUGAGGAGUCAGAGGAAACACUGGCCAAAAAAAAAAAAAUUCCAGGACCUCAAAAGGGAAACACUUUCAGCAAGUGAACCUAAAAAAGAAACUCUAGAAGAGAAAGAAAUAGAUGUGUCUGUCUGUCUUGUCCUUUGUUCUUGAUGGAGGAAUAAGAAGUGGGGUGGGGGGACUUCUCUGCUGAGAAUAUCUAACUAUAAACCCACACUUAAAAUGAUUUGGGGCUGGGAUUCAUUCUAAAAACGUAAGCCACACAUUGGGUAAAAGAGACUUCGACCCAGGUCUCAAAGAAUUUCUUCAGUGAAGUCCCAAGAAACAACUAUUUACAAAGAAAGAGAGAGAGAGAGACACCCCAACUCAAUAUAAGAGGAAAAAUUUUGAUUUAAAAAAAGGUCAGUUAGAAAUUUGAGAAGCCAAAAGCUGAUAUAACUAGUCAGAACUGAAGAGGAAAUUAAUGAAGUUAAAGAUCAAGCUGAAAAAUUUACCAAAAAUGAGGCAUAAAGUGGCAAAGAGAUGAAAAAUGUGAAAGAGAGGUCAAGGGGCAAGGAAGUCAAGGGCAAAGUUCUAAUAUCAAUCUACAGGGAGCACACAGGAGAUGGGGGAUGGGGAGAUAUUAAAAGAGAUAACAGAUGAGACCUUUCCGGAGUUGAUUAACGACAAUGAUCCCCUGAUUCCAGGAGCCCAAUGAACACCAGCAUUUCCAAAGAAAGCCCCACACAGACACAUCAGAGCAAGACUGCAGAAUCACUGAAGACAAAGAAGAAGCACCCAGAGAAAAGGACAGCUAACCUACAAAGAGCUUUAGCCCAACAGCUGACUCACAAACAGCAGCAAUCGAGAAAAAAAUCAUUGAUAAUCCA